GACGAACGCUGGCGGCGUGCUUAACACAUGCAAGUCGAACGGAAAGGCCUGUCCUUCCUUGUGUUGGACGGGUGCUCGAGUGGCGAACGGGUGAGUAACACGUGAGUGAUCUGCCCCCAACUUGGGUAUAAGCCUGGGAAACUGGGUCUAAUUCCCGAUAGGACUGCAGGGUGGUGCCUGUGGUGGAAAACGAUUUUCUAGUGGUUGGGGAUGAGCUCGCGGCCUAUCAGCUUGUUGGUGGGGUAAUGGCCUACCAAGGCGGCGACGGGUAGCCGGCCUGAGAGGGUGGACGGGCACAUUGGGACUGAGAUACGGCCCAGACUCCUACGGGAGGCAGCAGUGGGGAAUAUUGCACAAUGGGCGGAAGCCUGAUGCAGCGACGCCGCGUGGGGGAUGACGGCCUUCGGGUUGUAAACUCCUUUCGACCGCGAGGAAGCCGCCUGGUUGGAAGGGUGGUGACGGUAGUGGUAGAAGAAGCACCGGCUAACUACGUG
rnacentral:rRNA from 1 species